CCAGCAGCUGCGGUAAUUCCAGCUCUAAUAGCGUAUAUUAAAGUUGUUGCAGUUAAAAAGCUCGUAGUCGGAAGUCGGGCUCGGGCAGGCUGUCGGCCUCGGUUGGGCAGCUUGCUUGGGUCUUCUAGCUCGGGGGCCCCGUGCCAUUUAACCGUGGUGCGCGGGAACACGGGCCGUUUACUUUGAAAAAAUUAGAGUGUUUAAAGCAGGCUUAUGCCGUUGAAUAUAUUAGCAUGGAAUAAUAAGAUAGGACUUUGGUACUAUUUUGUUGGUUUGUGCACCAGAGUAAUGAUUAAUAGGGACAGUUGGGGCUAUUCGUAUUCCAUUGUCAGAGGUGAAAUUCUUGGAUUUCUGGAAGACGAACUACUGCGAAAGCAUUUAGCAAGGAUGUUUUCAUUAAUCAAGAACGAAAGU
rnacentral:rRNA from 1 species